rnacentral:rRNA from 1 species
AGAGUUUGAUCCUGGCUCAGGAUGAACGCUGGCGGCGUGCUUAACACAUGCAAGUCGAACGAAGCAUUUUAGAUGAGAUCUUCGGAUGGAUUUUGAAAUGACUGAGUGGCGGACGGGUGAGUAACGCGUGGGCAACCUGCCCUGUACAGGGGGACAACAGUUGGAAACGACUGCUAAUACCGCAUAAGCGCACAGCAUCGCAUGAUGCCGUGUGAAAAACUCCGGUGGUACAGGAUGGGCCCGCGUCUGAUUAGGUAGUUGGUGAGGUAACGGCCCACCAAGCCGACGAUCAGUAGCCGACCUGAGAGGGUGACCGGCCACAUUGGGACUGAGACACGGCCCAAACUCCUACGGGAGGCAGCAGUAGGGAAUUUUCGGCAAUAGGGGAAACCCUGACCGAGCAACGCCGCGUGAGUGAAGAAGGUCUUCGGAUUGUAAAGCUCUGUUGUAAGGGAAGAAAUGUACUGUGAGAAACAGUACUUGACGGUACCUUACCAGAAAGCUACGGCUAACUACGUGCCAGCAGCCGCGGUAAUACGUAGGUAGCGAGCGUUAUCCGGAAUUAUUGGGCGUAAAGGGUGCGUAGGCGGCCAUUUAAGUUCAUGGUGAAAGCGUGGGGCUCAACCCCAUAAAGCCAUGGAUACUGGAUGGCUGGAGUACUGGAGAGGGUAGUGGAAUUCCAUGUGUAGCGGUAAAAUGCGUAGAUAUAUGGAGGAACACCGGUGGCGAAGGCGGCUACCUGGACAGAGACUGACGCUGAGGCACGAAAGCGUGGGGAGCAAAUAGGAUUAGAUACCCUAGUAGUCCACGCUGUAAACGAUGAAUGCUGGGUAUCGGGGAGACUCGGUGCCGUAACUAACGCGAUAAGCAUCCCACCUGGGGAGUACGCCGGCAACGGUGAAACUCAAAGGAAUUGACGGGGGCCCGCACAAGCGGAGGAACAUGUGGUUUAAUUCGAUGAUACGCGAGGAACCUUACCCGGGCUUGAAUUGCAGAGGAAGGAUUUGGAGACAAUGACGCCCUUCGGGGUCUCUGUGAAGGUGCUGCAUGGUUGUCGUCAGCUCGUGCCGUGAGGUGUCGGCUUAAGUGCCAUAACGAGCGCAACCCCUCUCCUUAGUUGCCAUCAGGUCAAGCUGGGCACUCUGGGGACACUGCCACCGUAAGGUGUGAGGAAGGUGGGGAUGACGUCAAAUCAGCACGGCCCUUACGUCCGGGGCUACACACGUGUUACAAUGGCAGGUACAGAGAGAUGGUGUUCUGCAAAGCGCAUCUAAUCCUUAAAGCCUGUCUCAGUUCGGACUGGGGUCUGCAACCCGACCCCACGAAGCUGGAUUCGCUAGUAAUCGCGCAUCAGCCAUGGCGCGGUGA